GAUGAACGCUAGCGGGAGGCCUAAUACAUGCAAGUCGAGCGGUAGAGUGACUUCGGUUGCUUGAGAGCGGCGAACGGGUGAGUAACGCGUACACAAUCUACCUUUAAGAGGGGAAUAGCCCUGGGAAACUGGGAUUAAUGCCCCACGGCAUCACGAGACGGCAUCGUUUUGUGAUUAAAGCUGAGGUGCUCAGAGAUGAGUGUGCGUCUGAUUAGCUAGUUGGUGCGGUAACGGCGCACCAAGGCGACGAUCAGUAGGGGGCGUGAGAGCGUGGACCCCCACACGGGUACUGAGACACGGACCCGACUCCUACGGGAGGCAGCAGUAAGGAAUAUUGGUCAAUGGAGGAAACUCUGAACCAGCCAUCCCGCGUGCAGGAAGAAUGCCCUAUGGGUUGUAAACUGCUUUUAUCUGGGAAGAAAAGUCGGGAUUUAUCCUGAUCUGACGGUACCAGAGGAAUAAGCACCGGCUAACUCCGUGCCAGCAGCCGCGGUAAAGUCGUACG
rnacentral:rRNA from 1 species